GAUGAAGAACGUAGCGAAAUGCGAUAAGUAAUGUGAAUUGCAGAAUUCAGUGAAUCAUCGAAUCUUUGAACGCACAUUGCGCCCGCCAGUAUUCUGGCGGGCAUGCCUGUCUGAGCGUCAUUUCAACCCUCAUGCCCCUAGGGCGUGGUGUUGGGGAUCGGCCAAAGCCCGCGAGGGACGGCCGGCCCCUAAAUCUAGUGGCGGACCCGUCGUGGCCUCCUCUGCGUAGUAGUGAUAUUCCGCAUCGGAGAGCGAUGAGCCCCUGCCGUUAAACCCCCAACUUUCCAAGGUUGACCUCAGAUCAGGUAGGAAUACCCGCUGAACUUAAGCAUAUCAAUAAGCGGAGGA
rnacentral:misc_RNA from 1 species